AGGUUUUGAGUGAAUAACGGAUCUGUGCGUCACUCACGUGAAAGAGGUUCUUCUGUGGAGCACAAAAAGAAGAUAUUUGUUAUUUUAGUGAUGAACAGGUUUGAGCGACAGGAAAGAACAUUAUAAUAUUGGCUUGGACUAACAUGAGGCAAACUGUCCCAUCAUGCAGCAGGAGCGCUCCUGAGGGACUCCAGCUCUGCGGAUAAUGAAGCCUGUCAUCUCCGCUCACCUCCGCGCCGGACACACUUCCAGCUCCAGACGCCUGCUCCAUCGAUUCGCUGCUGUUUUCCAAAGCGG